rnacentral:rRNA from 1 species
AGUGAAUAAUUAAACGGCCGCGGUACCCUAACCGUGCAAAGGUAGCAUAAUCAUUUGUCUAUUAAUUGUAGACCUGUAUGAAAGGCAAAAUGAGGGUUUAACUGUCUCUUAUAGUAAAUCAAUUAAACUGAUCCUCCAGUAAAAAAGCUAGAAUAUUCUCAUAAGACCAGAAGACCCUGUGAAGCUUAAACUAAACUAUUAAACCCUAUAAUAGCUACUUUCGGUUGGGGCGACCUUGGAAAAAAAAGGAACUUCCAAACACAAUGACUAUAAAUCACACCACACGGCCUACAAGCCCAUAAAUUAGACCCAGCACAGCUGAUAAUUGAACCAAGUUACUCCAGGGAUAACAGCGCUAUCUUCUUCAAGAGUCCAUAUCAAAAAGAAGGUUUACGACCUCGAUGUUGGAUCAGGACAUCCUAA